GAGUUUGAUCGUGGCUCAGGACGAACGCUGGCGGCGUGCUUAACACAUGCAAGUCGAACGGUAAGGCUCCAGCUUGCUGGGGUACACGAGUGGCGAACGGGUGAGUAACACGUGGGUGACCUGCCCUGCACUUCGGGAUAAGCCUGGGAAACUGGGUCUAAUACCGGAUAGGACCGCACCGUGAGGGUGUGGUGGAAAGUUUUUUCGGUGUGGGAUGGGCCCGCGGCCUAUCAGCUUGUUGGUGGGGUAAUGGCCUACCAAGGCGGCGACGGGUAGCCGGCCUGAGAGGGUGGACGGCCACAUUGGGACUGAGACACGGCCCAGACUCCUACGGGAGGCAGCAGUGGGGAAUAUUGCACAAUGGGCGGAAGCCUGAUGCAGCGACGCCGCGUGGGGGAUGACGGCCUUCGGUUG
rnacentral:rRNA from 1 species